rnacentral:rRNA from 1 species
GAUGAACGCUAGCGGCAGGCCUAACACAUGCAAGUCGAGGGGUAACUAGAGUGAUAGCAAUAUUACUUUGGCUAGACCGGCGCACGGGUGCGUAACACGUAUGCAACCUACCUUAUACUGGGGAAUGACUUCGAGAAAUCGGCGCUAAUACCCCAUAACAUUGCGAAGAGGCAUCUCUUUGCAAUUAAAGCUCCGGCGGUAUAAGAUGGCCAUGCGUCCAAUUAGCUAGUUGGUGAGGUAACGGCUCACCAAGGCUACGAUUGGUAGGGGUUCUGAGAGGAUGAUCCCCCACACUGGUACUGAGACACGGACCAGACUCCUACGGGAGGCAGCAGUGAGGAAUAUUGCGCAAUGGACGAAAGUCUGACGCAGCCAUGCCGCGUGCAGGAUGACGGCCCUAUGGGUUGUAAACUGCUUUUGUACGGGAAUAAACCCUUCUACGUGUAGGAGGCUGAAGGUACCAAAUGAAUAAGCACCGGCUAACUCCGUGCCAGCAGCCGCCGUAAAAC